CAACUUGAGAGUUUGAUCCUGGCUCAGAACGAACGCUGGCGGCAGGCCUAACACAUGCAAGUCGAGCGAAGCCUUCGGGCUUAGCGGCGAACGGGUGAGUAACGCGUGGGAACGUGCCCUUCUCUACGGAAUAGUCCCGGGAAACUGGGUUUAAUACCGUAUACGCCCUUCGGGGGAAAGAUUUAUCGGAGAAGGAUCAGCCCGCGUCUGAUUAGGUAGUUGGUGGGGUAAUGGCCUACCAAGCCUACGAUCAGUAGCUGGUUUGAGAGGAUGAUCAGCCACACUGGGACUGAGACACGGCCCAGACUCCUACGGGAGGCAGCAGUAGGGAAUCUUAGACAAUGGGGGAAACCCUGAUCUAGCCAUGCCGCGUGUGUGACGAAGGCCUUAGGGUCGUAAAGCACUUUCGCCAGGGAUGAUAAUGACAGUACCUGGUAAAGAAACCCCGGCUAACUCCGUGCCAGCAGCCGCGGUAAUACGGAGGGGGUUAGCGUUGUUCGGA
rnacentral:ncRNA from 1 species